ACUCCGCCUACCCCGUCCCUGGCUCCACCACCCGGGAACUGCACCAGCUGCCCCGGGCUCCGCCCCGAGGACCUGUGCGGCCCGCCGAACGCCGGCUCCUCCCCCGAAGCCUGCCCGCGGGACUCGUCCAGUCGCUUAGCCUCAGGCUCCUGCCCUGGCCCAAGCCAGCCAGCCAUGGAGGGGGAUGUGCCCGCCGCUGCAGCCGCCCGCUACCAGCCGGCCAGCCCCCCGCGGGACGCCUGUGUCUACAACAGCUGCUACUGUGAAGAAAAUAUUUGGAAGCUCUGUGAAUACAUCAAAAACCAUGACCAGUAUCCUUUAGAAGAGUGUUAUGCUGUCUUCAUAUCUAAUGAGAGGAAGAUGAUACCUAUUUGGAAACAACAGGCAAGACCUGGAGAUGGACCCGUGAUCUGGGAUUACCAUGUUGUCCUGCUUCAUGUUUCAAGUGGAGGACAGAGCUUCAUUUAUGAUCUUGACACUGUGCUGCCAUUUCCCUGUCCUUUUGACACUUACGUGGAAGAUGCCUUUAAGUCUGACGAGGACAUUCAUCCACAGUUCAGAAGGAAAUUUAGAGUGAUCCGUGCAGAUUCGUAUUUGAAGAACUUUGCUUCUGACCGAUCUCACAUGAAAGAUUCCAGUGGGAACUGGAGGGAACCUCCUCCUUCGUACCCCUGCAUUGAAACUGGAGAAUGACCUCGGAAGCUGCCGGUUGAAGAUAGCAGAGCCACCACCAGCCUGGACCCCCGAAUGACCCUAAGGAGCCGUCUUACACCUACUUAAAAAGUAUGAUGUGGCACUGAUCCUCAAAGACAAAACCUGUAUAUUUCUUUGGAAGUCACAGAAUUAUUGGAGUGGCUACACCAGCUUGCAUUCCCACCAGCAGUGUAGGAGGGUUCCCCUUUCUCCGCAUCCUCGCCAGCUAAAAGAUUACACUUUGAACAAACAAGUGAGCCUAACUGAAGAACUGUCCUGUCAUUACUUAAAAGGGCCUUGGAGGAAGGAAGUGACUGUUGUAGCACAGAAGGUGUAGAACCAGAAAAUGUGGAAAUAUGUGAAGAUCCCUAGGACCAGGAAGGAAAGUCCAGCCUGAGCCAGAAUUACUCACUUAGCUCUCCUGUUGAGGGCUGACCAGCAGCUCUCUGGUGAGAGAGACUCGUUGGAGACGUGCUGGAGAGAGACUUGCUGGAGACUCGCUCUGGGACCUGCUGCUUCUGUGUGUUGGGUGCACAUGUACCUGCUGAGUAGAGAGAACACAUUCUGGAGAUUAGUGACAGUCUCUGCAAGCAAGUCCUUCUGGCAUCUUCCCAGAACACUGAGGUAAUGAGGCUGUCCAGUUAUAACGCAGUGAGUAUCUGGGCUGAGUGCUGGAGCAAGUACAGUCCAGCAUCUGACACUCAACGGGGACAAGGGGCUAAGUCGCCCCCCGUAAGACAGUGUCUUACAGUGUGAGGCGCACGGUGGCUGCUUAGUAAACAUUUGCCGAGGGAACGAAUGUAUGUUUAUGAGGAUCUUUCCAUGCAUUUCUGUUAGCGGUGUUGUUAUAAAACCAAUGACAUAGUAUGUGGUUGUACCCCUAAGGCAGCUGUAGCCAGCUGAUGAGAUUGAAUUUGGUUGUGGGACCCAACCGACACGACCAGAGUCAUUUUGCUCUGGGAGGGCUUCUCUCCGGGUCUUCUUUUGCCCUUUGUCUCCCUGGGCUCCCUCCCAGUCUUGCUGACACAUUGUCUGUGUCAGUUCCGAGAGCGUUCACAAGUAUCUCCAGCUAGUUAGAACAUUCUUUCAGGAGAUCUACUCCGUGUGUGCCAUGGCUGAAGAUCCCAGAGGGAGGGGACAAUAUCCCUGUAUUUCCACAGGGUAAGCUUGGGGUGCUAUGGUCUGAAUGCUUGUGUCCCUCUCUCUGUCCCAAAUUCAGAUGUUGAAAUCCUACCCCACGGGGUGAUGGUAUUAGGAGGUGGGGCCUUUGGCAGGGGAUUAGUUCUUGAGGGCGGAGCCCUUUUGACUGGGGUUAGCACUGUCAGGAAAGAGACCCUGUCACCCCAACCCCUUCCCACGUGAGGACGCAACGGUAAGUGUGCAGCCCACAACCUCACUGCCCUGCAGGCGCCCUGACUGGACUUCCAGCAUCGAGAACUGUGAGCAGUAACUUCCUGUUGUUUGGAAGCCACUCAGUCUGUGGCGUUUUGUUAGGGCGUCCUAAAAGGAUCGAGACCAGAAUUCCUAACCUGCAGUGCCAGCACAUACUGUGUGUGGUGAUAGGAGCACAUGUUUCUGGAGGAGGACCCGUAGCUUGUAUUAUCUGUUUAUUCAUUUAAAAAUAUUUUUACUUAUGUAGGGGCUACUCUGUGCCAGCUCCAGGUUAGAUGCUGGUAACUGAAACCAGAGUAGCAUGUGUCCUCCUGUUGGUUACGGGCUGACAGUAGGGACCGCUGUCCAUCAAAGAAUCAUCCAAAUGACCACACAAUGGCAGCUGUGCCCCGUGCUAUUAAGGAGAGAAUAGCUACAUAAGGUGGGAGAAGUAAUCUGGUUAAAGGGGUGGGGAGGCUUCCUGGAGGAGGUGUCGCAUCCAUCCAACAGAUAGCUCCUAUUCAGUGCCAAGCAGUGUUCCUGCCCUGGUGACUGAGCAGUGGAGAAAAAGCCCAUGUGCUCAUAGAGCCUACGUUCUGGUGGAGGGGACAGACCGUGAACAUGUACGGCGUGUGAAAAGAUAGUGGCCAUUUACUGAGUUGGGGAAAGAUUGUCGGUGGAGCCUUUUGGGAGAGGAAGAUCAGGAGUUUCAUUUUGGACGUUAAACCUGAGAUGCCAGUUGGAUGUCUUUGAGGAGAUGUCAGAUAGGAAUUGGGUAGAGGAGUCUGGGAUUCAGGGAUGAGGUUCAAGGUGCGAAUGUACAAUUGGGACGCUUGGAUAAUAUUUGAAGGCACAGGACUCUAGGAGAUCUUGGAGAUGCUGGGUGUAGAUGGGGAAGAUGUCUGGGGACCUAGUCUUGGGGACUUUUACAUUUAGGGGUCUGGAGAGGAGAAGGUGCCAGAAAGGGACAGAGAGGAUGAGCUGGGGCGGGAGUGGGAGUUAGAGGAUAAGGAGAAAACCAGGGAAGCCCAGGGGAGAAGUGAUUUCAGAGAGACAGGGAUCAGAUCAGAUGUCACUGGUCAGUGGAGUCAGCUGAGGACCGAGGUGACUGUUGGCUUUGGCAACAUGGAGCUUCUUCAGAGCAAUUUCAGUGGAGCGAUGGGGAUGGCAGUGGUUGGGUGGCUUCAGGAGGGAACGGGAGGAAGGAGGCAGAGUACUUGGUAAAUGGAGCAGAGAAAUGGGCCAGUGCAGAGGGGAAGGGGUCAGGGAGAGACUGCUGUGUCUCUAGCCCUCAUGCAUUUUUUCCUUUAUGAACAGAUUAACCAUUUCUGCUCCUCCAGAGAGAGCUCUGAUGAUACCAGAGACCUGUCCUCCAGGCCUGCUGUCGUCACACUCGGGGCUGACACCACUCAGCUCUUGCUCUGGCGGGGGUUAUUCCCGAUGACUAGAUGAGUCCCACGGUUCCCUUCUCUUUUCUUCUCUUCUUCCUUCCUUUCAAGAUUUUAUUUGAGAGACAUAGAGAGAGGGCAAGAGCAGCGG